UCCGGCUUAUCACCGGCGGUUUCUUUAGAGUGCCCAACUAAAUGAUGGCAACUAAAGACGAGGGUUGCGCUCGUUGCGGGACAUGUCAAGGGUCGGUAAGGUUCUGCGCGUUGCUUCGAAUUGAACCACAUGCUCCACCGCUUGUGCGGGCCCCCGUCAAUUCCUUUGAGUUUUAAUCUUGCGACCGUACUCCCCAGGCGGGAUGCUUAAAGCGUUAGCUGCGCCACUGACGAGUAAACCCGCCAACGGCUAGCAUCCAUCGUUUACGGCGUGGACUAC
rnacentral:misc_RNA from 1 species